UGCUUAACACGUGCAAGUCGAACGAUGAUCUCCAGCUUGCUGGGGGGAUUAGUGGCGAACGGGUGAGUAACACGUGAGUAACCUGCCCUUGACUCUGGGAUAAGCCUGGGAAACUGGGUCUAAUACCGGAUAUGACUCCUCAUCGCAUGGUGGGGGGUGGAAAGCUUUUGUGGUCUUGGAUGGACUCGCGGCCUAUCAGCUUGUUGGUGAGGUAAUGGCUUACCAAGGCGACGACGGGUAGCCGGCCUGAGAGGGUGACCGGCCACACUGGGACUGAGAUACGGCCCAGACUCCUACGGGAGGCAGCAGUGGGGAAUAUUGCACAAUGGGCGGAAGCCUGAUGCAGCGACGCCGCGUGAGGGAUGACGGCCUUCGGGUUGUAAACCUC
rnacentral:rRNA from 1 species